rnacentral:rRNA from 1 species
AGAGUUUGAUCCUGGCUCAGAUUGAACGCUGGCGGCAUGCUUUACACAUGCAAGUCGAACGGGGUUAAGGGGCUUGCUCCUUAAUCUAGUGGCGAACGGGUGAGUAAUGCAUCGGAACGUACCCGGGAGUGGGGGAUAACGCACCGAAAGGUGUGCUAAUACCGCAUAUUCUGUGAGCAGGAAAGCAGGGGACCUUAGGGCCUUGUGCUUCCGGAGCGGCCGAUGUCGGAUUAGCUAGUUGGUGAGGUAAAGGCUCACCAAGGCGACGAUCCGUAGCGGGUCUGAGAGGAUGAUCCGCCACACUGGGACUGAGACACGGCCCAGACUCCUACGGGAGGCAGCAGUGGGGAAUUUUGGACAAUGGGCGCAAGCCUGAUCCAGCCAUGCCGCGUGUCUGAAGAAGGCC